UACGAAGGGGGCUAGCGUUGCUCGGAAUCACUGGGCGUAAAGCGCACGUAGGCGGCUUUUUAAGUCAGGGGUGAAAUCCUGGAGCUCAACUCCAGAACUGCCUUUGAUACUGAGAAGCUUGAGUCCGGGAGAGGUGAGUGGAACUGCGAGUGUAGAGGUGAAAUUCGUAGAUAUUCGCAAGAACACCAGUGGCGAAGGCGGCUCACUGGCCCGAUACUGACGCUGAGGUGCGAAAGCGUGGGGAGCAAACAGG
rnacentral:rRNA from 1 species